AAUCCUUCAAUUUUAUCCAAUUUGAAAGGAAAUAUGAUGAUUUAGAUGGUGAAAAUAAUAAUAAUGGUGAUAAUCAAAUAAAACUAAUAACAAUAAAAGAAAUAGUAAUUUUAACAAAAGUAAUAAUCCGGGAUUAUCUUUGAUAAUUGGUGAUACCUGUAAGGUAUUUAGAUAAAACUGGUAAUAAACAUUUGUCACAGCUUUCGUAACCAUGGCCAAUGACCAAGGAUGGGAUUAGUUGAGUUGAUAGCGAUGAAUUGUGGUGAUUAGUUGAUGAAGAUGAUUUAUUGAUGAAACAUUGGCAACACAUUAGAAGUUACAAGUUUUGCCGUUGUGUGGUGAACAAACGCUAACACAUGAUUUUUGAGUUACACAUGAAAACUUAACUCUUUGCUUGAUAUUGAUACACAAUUAUUAAUCUGUUGUCACCUUAUUUUAAUGUUUUGACAUCACAUUUGUUGGACAUUUUUGAAUCCAAAUUGGACUCUCUUUGGUCGUGAUGUGAGUGGUUUCGUCUUCUGGUUGAUGUCAGCUUCAAGUGGAAAGGCACGUUUUAAAGGCGACAACAAGAGACGCACACAAUAACAAGACAGGAAUCAAUUGAAGUAAAGUUGCCGUUUGGGAUACAAAGUUUACUGGAUCAACGUUGUUACCAAAAUGACAAGCAUCGGUUGCUCAGAUCAACAUUUACCUGGUCCAACCUCUUUUUGGGUUGAUACAACAACCAUUAAAAACCUUAUUCACUCUCUCUCUCCCUCUUAUCUUCUCUUUCCUCUAUUUUCAUUCACCUUUUCUUUAUCAUUAUCAUCUUCUUCCCCCUUCUCCCUCUCUCAAAUACACACAUAACUUACCUUACUCAAGGUCUACCCCUAGUCUUCAUCUUAGUCUUCAACUCCAUUCUACUCUCAGUAUUUCCCUCACUUGGUUUCCAUCUGUCUAAAUUUUGUGGACCUUUUCUAUUUUCCUCUGUUGACAUUUCUCUCUUUCUCUCUCACUGACUUCACAUUUCUCAUUCUCACCGAUUUCCUGUUUUUGCAGCUCCCGGAAGCCUCUGAUGAAACCCACAAAUACCAUUAGAAGAUCAAAAAUGCCAGAGUAAAUCAUUUGUCCCGCAAAAAUGCAAUCGUCCCGCAAGUCAGGCAAUUUUCAACUUCAAUCUUCAACUCAACCCAAAACAUCAAUACAUUGAUCUCACUAACCCAAAAGCUGACUUUAGAGCUCAAUCCCAAUGAUUGUACCAUCAAGAUGUGAGGCCAAAAUAUUUAUCACUAUCGCAAAUAAUAUUCAUGUUUUAUAUAUUUGAUUACAGCUGAUUCGGUAAAGGGUAAAACAAUAAAUUUUGAGCUCAAUAAGUCA